CUCCAAGUUGCCUUGCAAGUUCUGAUUUUCCAGCUCCAGGCCCUCCACUUAUUAUGACAUGAAUUUCUUUCCUAGGAUUUUGUCUUCUCAACUGGUCCAAGUCAUUAACAAGCUGGUCAAGUUUACUUGUAAGCCAUUAUGUCUUGCAACAUGUACAAAAACGUCGUUUGUUUAAGCUCUCUCUGAUAUGCAAUUCGCAUACCUGCCAAGUUUUAACAGUCUUGUUUUGCGAUUGGUUUCAUAAAACAAACGCAAUCAGUGUUUGUGGCUUGUUCUUGGAAGGACGAUUUCUAUAAAUCCCUAUAUUGUUACAAUCCGCCAAUCACAAACCCUGUUUACGCAAU